rnacentral:rRNA from 1 species
AACGGGUGGAGCCUGCGGUUUAAUUGGAUUCAACGCCGGAAAUCUCACCGGGGGCGACAGCAAUAUGAAGGUCAGGCUGAAGACCUUACCCGAUUAGCUGAGAGGUGGUGCAUGGCCGUCGUCAGUUCGUACUGUGAAGCAUCCUGUUAAGUCAGGCAACGAGCGAGACCCACGUCCACAGUUGCCAGCAUACCCUCCGGGGUGAUGGGUACACUGUGGAGACCGCCGCUGCUAAAGCGGAGGAAGGAGUGGGCAACGGUAGGUCAGUAUGCCCCGAAUCUCCCGGGCUACACGCGGGCUACAAUGGUUGGUACAAUGGGCAUCUACCCCGAAAGGGGAAGGAAAUCUCUUAAAGCCAAUCGUAGUUCGGAUUGAGGGCUGCAACUCGCCCUCAUGAAGCUGGAAUCCGUAGUAAUCGCGCUUCAACAGAACGCGGUGAAUACGUCCCUGCUCCUU